GCGAGCAUCCCUUUUCCAGUGGCAGCCAAGCUUAUCUACCCGCAAGCGCGAAAGAAAUGUGGCUAUUGCUAAUCUCAUACGUCGUAGUCAAUAUAUACUGCCAUAAUUAGCCACGCCUGGAUUUCCGUGGUUUAACUACAUCACCGUAUAACUUCCUUGGUCACAGAAAGGGAAGGACUGAGAGACCCACCCAUCAGUAACAGACGUGCCUAUUUAGAAGCUGUCUUAAAGGCUCCGCACUGCCUCCGUUGCAGACACAGACUGAAGAGAUGAAGAUGCAGAGGGUAUUGGCGUUGGUCAUUUUCACCAUUGCAAUAAUUACGACACAAUCUGCCCCCAUAGAAACAAAUGGUGAAAUAAACUUCCAGUCUUUUCUGAGUGAGGAGACGCAGUAUGUCAGCACAAGGCUGGUGCGCAGAAGAAGGGGAACAGAUCAGUCUCAAAGGAAUCCCUCGCGCGUCUGCUCCGGCUGCUACUCGGUCAUUGGCGACCCCACGACUAUAUGACCGUCACCGCAUUUAGGAGACAGUUUUCACCUUCCCGAGGCAAAUCAACAAAUGAUGAAUAACCAGCAACGCCUUGCCAAACAGCAAGACAAAAAGUACACUAAACCAAGGAACUAUCUGUAACUCCAGCCUUUUCUUCUUUUUUUUUACACUUGCUUGAAUUUAUAUCACAUGUAUGUAACAAUGUAAUGUUCAGCUUCUCUGUGUGUUUUGUACGAUUAAUGAAGGACUGUUUUAAUAUGAA